UGUUUGCCUGUUAGUGUUAUAAAAUUAGGCCUAUUAUACUAUAAAUAUCGUAUGAUUUCUGUGUAUAAUUAGUGCACUGCACUGGAAUUUGUACAGUGAAGGUGCUAUAAAAGCGUAUCAUAAUAGAGUAAAGCCACAGAUUUAUCGAACACAAACGCUUUUUCUCGAGGAUAGCGGCUCAAAGCAUCUAAAUCAAUAGCACCUAAUCGGCGAGACCUAAUCUCUCGGAUUAGGAGCUAAAAAGAAAAUCUGGAGGAGGAUGCCAUCACUGUGACGGGGUCACGUUUGAAGGUGCUGUUGAAUGAUUACCGUACUUUUUCAAAAUAAUUAUAACCCCCUUAUAAUUAUGCACCGUAAAAAUCAUUAUUUUUCUUGUUCUGCACACUAGUCUCACAAAUGUAGUUAUUGAAAACGUUGCCUUAUUUAGAAGAAGUACGGUAAGUCUAGUACAAAUAUUGAGUGCAACGCAUCAAAUGUUGGGACUGGAGUGAUAUAAAGCCAAAGGCCGCAAGCCCCGUCGUUGUUACAUUGCUCCAGUGCCAAUCAUGUAUACUUACAGUGCAUUAUUGUUAAAGCCAGUAGGCUUUAACUAGGAUUUGCACCACUUUUGUAGCUUUUCGGCAUUUGCACGUACCGUAUAGCGAGUAAUUUGCAUACAUUUGAAUAUGAAUAUUCGUACAGCUCAGGAUACCGUAUAGCGGGUAAUUUUCGGGGGACAAAAUAUUCGUGGUUCAGCAAUAUUGGUUCAGCAAUAUUGAGAUAUUUCGUGGGUAAUAUUUUCGUGGUAGCUGCCUGCACUGUAGGCAAGGUCGCUUCAUUCGUGGGUAAAAUAUUCGUGGUCAGACCUCCAACCACGAAAACCACGAAUAUUUUGCCCCACGAAAAUUACACGCUAUACGGUAGUUACGUUGGACUUAUUGUGCCAGAAAAACUUUGCAGUUUUAGUUUUAGUAGGUGCUCUUCUGAUACGAAAAUACGAAAAUUUCCACCAUACGAAAUAAUCUGUUAUACUGUAUUUUCACUACUGAAUCAGUUACUGCACAUCACCCGGGUCUGGCCUAAAUGUAAUACAAUGUUGAUAUAAUUACCGUAUAGCGGGUAAUUUUCGAGGGGGAGGGGUAAAACAUUUGUGGUUGAACAAUAUUUAGUCACUUCGUGGAUAAUAUUUUCGUGGUUGCUGCUUGCCCUGCAGGUAAAGGUAGGCAAGGUCGCUUCAUUCGUGGGUGAACUAUUCGUGGCCAGAGCUUCAACCACGAAAACCGCGAAUAUUUUACCCCACGAAAGUUACCUGCUAUUACGAUAUACUGCUGUAUAAUUAUUUACAUAAAAUAAUGUUGGAUACUAUCACGCCUGCAUGACCCAGGCCUUAACUACCCAUAUUUAUGCCACGGUGUGCAUGCGCAAGCGAGGUAUACAGUAGUGUGUGUUGUCUGUGUGUUUAGACUGCUACAGCUGCUCCAGGAUAGUUCGAGUAAGAGUUUCUAUAAUAAAUUAUAGGCUUCUAGCUAGUCAGAUUUUUGUUUGUAGAUUUGCAAAAUAAUGCUUUGUUCUCGAGUUAUGCCUAGUUUUGCUUACCUGAAAUGCCAUUGCAACCUUUUCAGAAAAGUGCAUAGAAAAACUUGUCCAUAAAGUAUUGCUAUACUCUACUUAGUAGCACUAGAAUGAAUAGGUAACUGCAAGAGUGAGAAGAGAGCUUGCAAGGCUCUGCUGAUGCAGCCAUUAAUUUUUAGACUUGAACUUUUGGCAUCGAUCGUUUUUAACAACAAUCAUGGUCGAUCAUUAUCUACUCUUCGAUUUUCCCUGUGAUUCUGUAUGGAUUCUACCUGCAUGAGUAAUGCAAAAAUGUUCAUCAUGAUAAUUAUAAUGUGUUAAAAUUUUUUGCAGAAUGAUUCGUGGAUGUAAUUUUCAAGGAAUAGCAGCUUUUCUGCAGCAUGCGAUAUUAAAUUUGUGCGUAUAAAUGUUCACGGUAGAUGCUUGAUCAGCGUAAAAAUUUUCGCAGAAUGAUUCGUGGAUGUAAUUUUCAAGGAAUAGCAGCCUUUCUGCAGCAUGCGAUAUUAAAUUCGUGCGUAUAAAUGUUGGCGGUAGAUGCUUGAUCAGCGUAAACCACAAACAUUUAUACCUUUGAAAAAUACCUGCUAUUAGUAGCUUUAUGUUAUGUAGCUUUGGCACCUCCACUGAGGCAUCAGCACCUGUGGUGCUUUCAUUUGAACACUUUCAUUUGAACAGUUGCACUACUCUAUUAACAAAUAGUACUGGCAAUAGAGCGGGCACAGCUCAAUCACUAUCAAUAGUGCAAAAACUACAUUCUUGGUUAAACAGUCUCGUCCAUUUCGGGGCUACAGACAUGGUCACUUGUCCCAUAGAUUAAAGUAUGGUAUCAAAGGUCAAACGCAACAUAAUAAUUAUAUUCGAACAGUCACCAUGGAUGCGACAUCUGGACUUCAACAUAAUUAAAUUUUUCAACUUUAAAUAAUUAACCAUGGUUUCUGUGAUUAUUUACAACAAAAAGUUAAAAAACAUUUUAAACAUUUUUGUACAGUUCCAGUUCAGUUAAAGGAUUCACAGUUAAAAUGGGCCAACAGAAAUUUUUGUGAUUUUCAUUUUGGAUUCUGAUCCAGUAACUUGGCACACAGAUCCCAUGAACAGGUUUGCCGACUUGCAGUUAAGCAUCCAGGUAGUAUACCGGUUCAGGUAGUUAAGGAUAUCUAAAACCUGCUAAAGAAAAACAACAUGUGAUAAAAUAAUAGCAGCCACAAUCAGGAGUACAACAGUCCCUAAGGCCUUGCAUAUAAUUAUUGGAAGCGACCCCUACGAAUAACUAUUUUGCGGAAUUCAUGUGUACGUCUGUUAUAGCUUACUUUAUUUUCUGGGCUAGUAGGUCAAACGCAACAUAAUAAUUAUAUUCGAACAGUCACCAUGGAUGAGUGACCGAUCUUCACUCCAGGCUAGUAGGUCAAACGCAACAUAAUAAUUAUAUUCGAACAGUCACCAUGGAUGAGUGACCGAUCUUCACUCCAGGCUAGCUAUACUAGAAGACUUGCUUUAAUGGGGGUUAGUUAACCCCUGCAAUAGCGGCACAGUAUAGUUGGUAACAAAAGCGGUCUUUCAAUAUUUCUUAAGUCAAUGAUUUGAACGAGGCGGGAUCAAUUGCUUUGUUUUGUCUUGUUUCAUAACAGUGGCCUAAUAACUAUAAUUAGUCGAGUUCAUUUUAACGAACUCGUGUUUUUAUGUUACGGUUGAUACAUAUCAUGUACAUGAAUUAAAGACAAGGUAAUAACCAUCUUAAGUUGUUUAAUCUCAUCAUUUUUUCCUGAUCAAUACAGAAAAUUUUUUUUAUUGCAAACAGUGCACAAAAAGGUCAUCCUCUUUAGCAUUUGUUAACGAUCAGUAAAUAAUUGUGCAAAUAUGUGACUCCGUAUUACAUUAUUUUAUUAUACGGUCGCGUAGCCUUGGGGCAUGAUUUGGUACUCAUGCUGUAUCUACACAGUGUAACGAAUAUCGCAACCACACGCUAUAAAACGGCCUAGAGCUUAGGUCCAGAUUAAAACUUCAAUGUGGGCUUCGACCCCCACAUUUUUGAUUUUGUAUUCAGUGUACAUGCAAAAUAAGGAUUCACACAUAAUUUUAUCUUUUUGGAUCAAGAGAUCCCCCACAACAAACCGUAGCUCUGUUUCGUUUCUAAUUCUACUCGAAUAGGGAUUAUCAGAAAACAAAAGAGAUGAUAUGACUUGUAGACGGAACUUUCACAGCUGCAUGGACGCAAGUUCUAGAAAGUUGUCUUCUACCAACUUUUCUGACAAUCUGACCUAUAAAAAAUUACUUCACCAACACACUCCUCUUCAAUCAAUGUAGAUUCACCACAAUGUUUAUACACACUAUGAUAACUUUUCUUGAUGUGCCAAACUGAAAUACGCCAAAAGAUUCAAACAUCUUAUGGAGACUCCAUUUUUGUUCACUAAAUCCAUAUGUAUACGAGUAGCUAUAAGGAGAAGCUAUUGGUAUUCAGUAUUGCAUGUAGUAUAUGAAACAUGGUGACAAUCAAGUGCAAUGAUCUGUAGGUACAGCUUUAUAUAAUUAUGGCUACUGAAAAGUGAUGCCAUCAGCAUUACCAGGUUCUUGCAUCACCCCCAGUUGGGUAUUUAUGACUACAAUCCAUUAAAUGAUAAGGCUAUUUGAUCACUUGAUCAGGACUCCAAUGUUUAUAAGAUAUGUAAAGAAUCAAUGAUAAGCACAACUGAUUAAAUAGGGAAAUGAUCAUCAUUAAAUAUGUGAUUAACUAACUAGUAGUUUGUAAGUCAAUGUUCUCUAUCCAUGUAUCUUUGUUGUUGUCUCCUCUAUUUACCUCGUGGUCAUUCUAGCUAUCCCUAUGUGAAAUAGUGUGCGUAUGUAACAGGUAAUAACAUGCGUGAGAAUAUUUCUUUGUUUGACUUCCAAGACAAAUCGACAUAACCAGUUACUGCAUGUCAACCCUCAUUAGUGAAGGAACAACAAUAAUUAUAGCUGAUCAAUAUUGUUGGGACACACUAUACUUACAGAGUUCUC